AGAACGAACGCUGGCGGCAGGCUUAACACAUGCAAGUCGAACGGUUGUAGCAAUACAGCAGUGGCAGACGGGUGAGUAACACGUGGGAACCUUCCUAGGGGUACGGAACAACUCAGGGAAACUUGAGCUAAUACCGUAUACGUCCGUGAGGAGAAAGAUUUAUCGCCCCUAGACGGGCCCGCGUAGGAUUAGGUAGUUGGUGAGGUAACGGCUCACCAAGCCUACGAUCCUUAGCUGAUCUGAGAGGAUGAUCAGCCACACUGGGACUGAGACACGGCCCAGACUCCUACGGGAGGCAGCAGUGGGGAAUCUUGGACAAUGGGCGCAAGCCUGAUCCAGCCAUGCCGCGUGAGUGAAGAAGGCCUUAGGGUUGUAAAGCUCUUUUACCAGGGACGAUAAUGACGGUAACCGGAGAAGAAGCCCGGCUAACUUCGUGCCAGCAGCCGC
rnacentral:rRNA from 1 species